GAUGAACGCUGGCGGCGUGCCUAACACAUGCAAGUCGAACGGAAGGACCCUACGCUUGUGGCGUUCUCGAUUGCCGCACGCGGGAGUGUCACGUGUGGAACCCGCCCUUCUCUUUCGGGGAACAUCACGUAACAGCGGCUAAUAUCACAUAGGAUAUCCUGCACCGUGGUGUGCAGUGGAAAGUUUCGGCGUUUGGGGCUGGACUAGCGGCUUACGCGCUGUAUUGGCUGGUAGGUAAGGUCACGGCCUUUCAAGGCGACGAUGCGUAGCCGAGCGGAGAGGAUGAUCGGCGACAUGGGAACUGAGACACGGACCAGAGUCCUACGGGAGGCAGCAGUCGGGAAUGUGAGGCAAUGGGCGCAAGCCUGACACAGCGAGGCCGCGUGUGUGACGAAGGCCUUCGGUUCGUAAAGCCCGGCUUUUGGGUGAGAACAGCUGUAGCCUGAGACGAGGCGAUCGUGACGGUACUUAAUAAAGAAGCACCGGCUAACUACGUG
rnacentral:rRNA from 1 species